rnacentral:rRNA from 1 species
CUGCCCACUGAUUUUUAUGAAUUUAAUGGCCGCAGUACCUUGACUGUGCUAAGGUAGCAUAAUAAAUUGACUCUUAAUUGGGGCCUUGAAUGAAUGGAUUAAUGGAUAAUUUCUGUCUUAAUAAAAUUUAAAUUAAAUUACUUAAAAGGUGAAAAUUCCUUUAAUUUAUAUAAUAGACGAGAAGACCCUAGGAGUUUUAUUUUUGUUGGGGCGACAGUAUAACAUUAUAACUUAUAUACUUAUAAUUAAUUAUUAAACGAAUUAUUUUAAUAGUAAAGAAACUACCCUAGGGAUAACAGCAUAAUUUUUAAAAAGUUUGUGACCUCGAUGUUGGACUAGGAACUUUUAAUAUUAACAAUAUUAAUUGGUAGUUCUGUUCGA